rnacentral:rRNA from 1 species
CAUGCCGCGUGUGUGAAGAAGGCUUUCGGGUUGUAAAGCACUUUCAGCGAGGAGGAAAACGUGUUGGUUAAUAACCAGCAUGCUUGACGUUACUCGCAGAAGAAGCACCGGCUAACUCCGUGCCAGCACCUUCGGUGACUGAGCGGGCUGGCAAGGCGCAUA